CUACCUCUGAUAUAUAGAGCCCUUCUCAAAAGCAUUCGUCAACACCAUGUUCCACAGGAGAUGAGAAGACGUAGGUUUGAGCCUCCAUUAUGUUGCUUCUACUUGAUCGAUUCUCCAGCGACAUGGACAAAGUACGUGGCCGUCGGCGGCCUAGAUCCGAGUUGCCAAGAUAACGCGAUGAUGACGUUCUACUCCAAGCUCCAUGUUCAUGGCAUAUCGUUAAGAUAUUUUGUAGGAGCUACAUCUCUAGGUUGUGCUCUGCAGCAUCGGCCGACCGUGCGUCGUUUUCAUACUCUCCGACGCCACCGUCAGCUUGAGGAAGAUUGGUGCCCAGAACCCUCCAUGAAAUUAUUUUUUUCUUGUUCA